ensembl:snRNA U1 U1 spliceosomal RNA
CCACUAGCUUUGGGGAAGAGCAGUUGGGAAGGUCAUGUCAAAUCUGGGGGAGACUCGGGAUGAGCUGACCUCUGCGAUUUCCCCAAAUGCGGGAAACUCGACUGCAUAAUUUGUGGUAGUGGGGGACUGCGUUCGCGCUCUCCCCUA